GACGAACGCUGGCGGCGUGCUUAACACAUGCAAGUCGAACGAAGAGCGAUGGAAGCUUGCUUCUAUCAAUCUUAGUGGCGAACGGGUGAGUAACGCGUAAUCAACCUGCCCUUCAGAGGGGGACAACAGUUGGAAACGACUGCUAAUACCGCAUACGAUCUAAACUCGGCAUCGAGGAUAGAUGAAAGGUGGCCUCUACAUGUAAGCUAUCACUGAAGGAGGGGAAUGGGUCUGAUUAGCUAGUUGGAGGGGUAACGGCCCACCAAGGCGAUGAUCAGUAGCCGGUCUGAGAGGAUGAACGGCCACAUUGGGACUGAGACACGGCCCAGACUCCUACGGGAGGCAGCAGUGGGGAAUCUUCCGCAAUGGACGAAAGUCUGACGGAGCAACGCCGCGUGAGUGAUGACGGCCUUCGGGUUGUAAAGCUCUGUUAAUCGGGACGAAAGGCCUUCUUGCGAAUAGUGAGAAGGAUUGACGGUACCGGAAUAGAAAGCCACGGCUAACUACGUG
rnacentral:rRNA from 1 species